AGUCCGUGUUAGUUGCAUCCAAAAUACACAAAUUAGAGGAAAAACAAUAUCAAAAGUGUUCGGGAAAGUAGAUACGUUUUGGACGUAUCAGGGAUAUGCAAGGAUAUUUGACUAAAAGAUGAGUCUAAGUUAAGCUAGCAAACUUUCCAAGUAAGUACAAUCAGAAAUUUAAUUAUUUUGCCUAAAGAAAAGCACACGCAGUGAUGUUGACGAAAUAGUUUCAUGAGAUGUCUACAAAGUUCUAAUUUAGGCAACCUAUUGAAGAAAAUAAUAAGUUAAAAGGGGUUAAUUGAUACAUACCCACUAGCUCCAAAUGUUUAGAAUUCUUCAAUAUCAACUCUGAGUGAUGAGAGCAUAUCAUUUUCUUGCAAACUACUUAGGCAUUUAGAAUUAUUCAAGUGCAGCUCUGAGUGAUGAGAGCACGUGUUGACUUGCACGCCGCCUGCAGAGCAUAUAUUGUCACCCAGGAUGCACAAACAAAACAAAACUGAAUUUGUAGGUCAAUCACUAGAAACAUGGUAAUCUAGACUAUAUAGUAUGACACAUAUUCACCUUAGUUUGUUCCAAUAUAGGUGCAACCGAAAUUUAGCUCUGGGAAUGCUGCUACACUGUAGCAAGAUAAUUCUUGGGUGUUUCAGACUUUCAGUUUCGUGAGCGUAUUCUGCAAAUAUAUUGAGACAAAUAAUAAGAAAUAUUGUAGCAACUUUUACUUCUGAAGUACCUGCUAUAAGUUAGAGUAAGUGCGGUUCCAUUCCUAACGAUGAAGACAUUUAAGAGGUCAAUGAGGUCGUGAAUGGUUUGCAGAAAGAGUAGCCUGCAUUUUUUUCUGGCGUUGGCAAAAUCUCUAGACCAUCUCCUUUCGGUACCAACUCCUGAAAAUUGAUAACAGACAAUUUUCCAUUUAACUCCCUGCUAAAUAAUUUUGCACUUUCAAGAACAUAGGAUACCAUGAAGCUAAGGGUUCCAUUACUCCUUUUUUAGUCUUUCAUUCGCCCUGGGCAUCCAAGAAAUCAUUACCAGCAUCCUCCAGAGAUUCUCCACAAAGUAGAUCACAGCAACUUCCCAUGUCAUAGGAUCUCACUACAGGUUGGCGUCACAAUAAUGUUGUUACGGAAUGCCAAUCAGUUAAUUGGAAUUUGCAAUGGCACCUGUCUCAUGGGCGAAUGGGUUCUCAAAGCUAAGAUUAUGACUCGGAGCAAUGUAGGUGCCUGUGUGUGCAUACCAAGAAAGGCAAGAAUUGUGCUACAUGCGCCAUCUACAAGUGGCCCUUACUCAGUUUAUUCUACAAAAUCGACAGUAUCCAGUUCGUCUUUGCUAUGCAUUGAGAACUAAUAAAAACCAGGGGCAAACACUCCAGAAGGUUGGCAUCUAUUUACCAAAGGCUGGUUUUUCUCAUGGGCAGCUUUAUGUUGUUGUCUCAAGGGUGACAUCCAGGAGAGAAUUAAAGGUGCUUGCAGUUUAUGAAAAUAGGGAAUCACGGAAACAAUGAAUAUAGUAUAACAGGAAUUUCUUGAAAAUCUUUAGGCAUGGUAUAUGUAAGUACCUUUUCAUGGAGUUGUUGUUCUGCCUGUAUAAACAUAAUUCUACUGCUUUUAAUGUAUUGAUCUUUCUGAAG